rnacentral:rRNA from 1 species
UACGUAGGCAGCGAGCGUUGUUCGGAAUUACUGGGCGUAAAGAGUGUGUAGGCGGUGUUCCCAGUCUGUUGUGAAAUCUCCCGGCUUAACUGGGAGGGUGCAGCGGAAACUAGAAUGCUAGAGGGUGGGAGAGGUAAGCGGAAUUCCUGGUGUAGCGGUGAAAUGCGUAGAUAUCAGGAGGAACACCGGUGGCGAAGGCGGGUCUCUGGGCAACAACUGACGCUGAGGAGCGAAAGCGUGGGGAGCGAACAGG